rnacentral:rRNA from 1 species
AUGAAAUCUAACCGGGCACCUGGGCCUGAUAAUAUUCCGGUUGAAUUUUAUCAACAUUGCUGGGAGGUCGUAGCUCCGGACUUAUUUGCUCUGUUUGAAUGGUUCUAUGAGGGGAAACUGGAUGUGCAAAGGUUGAACUAUGGCAUUAUUACCUUACUACCCAAGUCGACUGAUGCUAGUAGAAUACAGCAAUACAAACCAAUUUGUUUACUACGUUGUUCGUACAAGCUUAUUACCAAGGUCAUGGACCUUAGGGUUGGAAAAUAUGCACAUAAACUGUUCAGCAUACAGCAAAAUGCUUUUAUCAAAGGGAGGCAUAUAGAUGGCAUUUUAUCCCUCCAUGAGAUUAUGCACUACACUCAUGUCAAAAAACAAAAAGGAGUGGUUCUCAAGCUUGAUUUUGAGAAAGCCUAUGACAAAGUCAAUUGGGACUUUUUGCUAGAAUGUCAUGUUAAACGUGGUUUUAAUCAAAAAUGGUGCGGAUGGGUAAAUCGGAUCCUAAGGAAUGGGACGGUUAGUGUUAAGAUCAAUGAUGAGCUAGGUCCGUAUAUACAGAGUGCUAAAGGGGUCAGGCAAGGUGAUCCACACUCUCCGUUCUUGUUUAACCUUGCGGCAGAAUGCCUAACUAAGAUGAUGACCUCGGCCUAG